UACAGAGGUCCCAAGCGUUGUUCGGAUUCACUGGGCGUAAAGGGUGCGUAGGUGGUUGGGUAAGUCUGAUGUGAAAUCUCCGGGCUCAACCCGGAAAUGGCAUUGGAUACUAUUCGGCUAGAGGUUUGGAGGGGGGACUGGAAUUCUCGGUGUAGCAGUGAAAUGCGUAGAUAUCGAGAGGAACACCUGCGGCGAAGGCGGGUUGCUGGGCUGACACUGACGCUGAGGCGCGAAAGCUAGGGGAGCGAACGGG
rnacentral:rRNA from 1 species